CAGAGCUGCUCUAAUUACGUUAAGGCUCGUCGAACAAAUUGGGUGCGGCGGUAUGCAGUUGUUCGGUGAGAAAAGUGGCACGUUGUUGGACACACUGCAAAUAAUUUCUACUCGUUGUUCGUAGAUGUAUUUGCAUGCCCAGAGACAAAGGAAAUUAAAAGAGUUAAGGGAACGGUUUCUCUGUCUAAGAUUGCCUCCAUGAUGGAUUUGUAAACACAUCAGCGCUUCUCAACAAGAGACGAUAAAAGAAAAUUCUGUGAGGGGGGAGAAUGAGGUACUCCAGUUCCCCCUUCCACAACGGUGACAAAAGCAAAAAAUAUAAAGCAGAAAUCUCAGUUUUUCGUUGAGUGAGAAAAAGGAAGUUCUUUCAAAAAUCUUUGCCUGAAGCGUCACAACUGAUCCCUUAUCUGACGACAACUGGCAAAAAGCCUGGAAAGUCCAGCAGGCUACGUCCAGCAGCUCGAGUGUAAAGAUGUUCAAAUAUUUGCAUAGAAGUUUUAUUUUAAUGAACAGUUGUGUUAAUCAAUAUGUGUGUUAAUAAAGUUGUCUUUUAGUG